CAGUAGCCAAAAAUGGGAAACAACUGAAAUGUCCACUGUGAACCCUGAAUAUCUGAGAUAGGUCUCAGUUAAUUUAGAAAGUUUAUUUUGCCAAAGUUGAGGACAUGUGCCUGUGAGACAGCCUCAGGAGGUCCUGAUGACAUGUGGCCAAGAUAGAGCACAGUUUGGUUUUAUACAUUUUAGGGAGACAUGAGACAUAAAUCAAAUAUAUAAGAUGAACACUGGUUUUGUCUGGAAAGGUGGGACAACUCAAAGCUGGGAGGGGGCUUCCAGGUCAUAAGUAGAUAAGAGACAAAUGGCUG
rnacentral:lncRNA from 1 species